UUUUUUUAGGUAUAUUUAACAAAUUAAAAAAAAAUCCAUAUUCAACUUUUUAAUUAAAAUUGGUACAAAUAAUCUUCAUACAUAAUCAAACCUAAUGCCAUUUUAAAAAAGAGGGGUCUGUGUACUUGUUUUCAAGUUAAAUCAGUUUAAAGCAUACAAAACAGUCCAAAAAUGCAUCUUUUCCCAAUUUGUCAACAUUUGACGUCGCGAAAAUAACAUUUUACGUUAGCAACGUCAUUACCUCCCCUGUAAUUGGCCUUAAGUGUUGACCACAAGCCAGAAAAAUUACAUAUAUCACUUGCCUCAUCCACAAACACUGUAUUAAAAUCAGCUCUAAAAUAUUUUAAAUUUGUAGAUUACUCCUUACUGGGCCUUAUUUAAACCAUGCAUCACAAAGUAAAAUGAAGAUAUUUGCUAUACAUAUAGAGCAUAACCAUAAGGAAAAAAUAUUUAAAAGAAGAAACUUUACUGAAAGUAUCUCAAUUAGUUCUCCAUUAUUGGCAUAUAUAUAUAUUUAUCUUACCUCCAAUAGAUUUAUAGGGAUAUAAUUGGUUAAUGGACUACACAUGUUGACUAUGUAUAUUUAAUAAAGGGUGUCACAUGGUUAGUUACCAUAUAGGGUUAGCAACCAUAUGGGGUAAGUAAGGAGUUAAUUCCCUUUCAAAACAAAAAAGAUGCCACAACCCUUUAUAAAAACAACACCGUGUUGAGGAAAAAUCUGAAAGGAUUCAACAGAAGACGAAAUGACGAUGAACAAAGGUUGAAAUAAGUUCAUGAAACUUAAUUAAAGCUAACAAGUUGUUACUGUUGGCAUAAUUGAGUUACUUCCCUUUCAAAACAAAACAAAAAAAGAAAUCUGAAAGGAUUCAACAGACAAAGAAAUACAUGUAAUACACGAUUGAAAUAAAUUCAUAUAAUAAAUCUAAAGCUAAAAAGUUGUUAUAGUUUCGUAUAGACUGAUGGAAGUAUAGGAUCUUAAUACUAAAUAUUGAAGACUUAAUC
rnacentral:lncRNA from 1 species